rnacentral:rRNA from 1 species
UUCCAGACUCCUACGGGAGGCAGCAGUGGGGAAUAUUGCACAAUGGGGGAAACCCUGAUGCAGCGACGCCGCGUGAGCGAUGAAGUAUUUCGGUAUGUAAAGCUCUAUCAGCAGGGAAGAAGAUGACGGUACCUGACUAAGAAGCCCCGGCUAACUACGUGCCAGCAGCCGCGGUAAUACGUAGGGGGCAAGCGUUAUCCGGAUUUACUGGGUGUAAAGGGAGCGUAGACGGCGAUGCAAGCCAGAUGUGAAAGCCCGGGGCUCAACCCCGGGACUGCAUUUGGAACUGUGUGGCUGGAGUGUCGGAGAGGCAGGCGGAAUUCCUAGUGUAGCGGUGAAAUGCGUAGAUAUUAGGAGGAACACCAGUGGCGAAGGCGGCCUGCUGGACGAUGACUGACGUUGAGGCUCGAAAGCGUGGGGAGCAAACAGGAUUAGAUACCCGCGUA